UACAGAGGUCUCAAGCGUUGUUCGGAUUCAUUGGGCGUAAAGGGUGCGUAGGCGGCGCGGUAAGUCGGGUGUGAAAUCUCGGAGCUUAACUUCGAAACUGCAUUCGAUACUGCCGUGCUUGAGGACUGGAGAGGAGACUGGAAUUUACGGUGUAGCGGUGAAAUGCGUAGAUAUCGUAAGGAAGACCAGUGGCGAAGGCGGGUCUCUGGACAGUUCCUGACGCUGAGGCACGAAAGCGUGGGGAGCAAACAGG
rnacentral:rRNA from 1 species